UGGAUUUGUAUAAACUAGAACAAUGCAGUGCAUGCAAAAUUUUCUGCUUAUAGAGAGGUUUCCAUGUGGAGAAAUCAUUAAAGCUUUUCACAAAUUGUCUUUUUACACAGGAACCUUUUAUCUGGUAAUGGAAACCUUAAGUGGCUAGACAAAUAUAUUUGGGAGGAGAUAGUGAAAAAUAAUUCUAGAUGUUUUCUGAGCUAAUAAGAUUUGUUCUUUUUAUGAACCUUUGAAAACUUGCAUGGUGUGGCAGAAAAUUUGUCCAAAAUUUCAUCCUGAAACACUUUUAUAUGAAGAAAAAAAGAUUCAAUUAUUUGAAAGUGGGAUUUUCAAGUCAGAGUUCCUUGUUCUAGCAGAUAUCCUAUCAUUACAGGAUUCCAAAUGCUUUGGAUUUGGAAAGCAUCGGGCAGAAAGCCUCCUGCACAGGGGAGACUGUGAAACACCUAAGAGGCAUCUGGAUGAUACAAAACCUAAAAAUCAUGCGGCUUGUAAUGUGAGCUUCUCCAUACGCAUACUCCCUAAGAGCUUUUAGCUUUCAAGUGGACUUAUCAAGAUUUUCUAACUGCUGAGGACAAAAAGGUUGCAUGUGAAGCCUGAUCAAAUCAGCACCAGGUUCCUUCAGUCCGGGAAGCGCUGCAGGGGUGGCAUAAGGGGACAGCCAGUACAAUGACAAAGGUGAGCAAGGAAGGGACAGCUCAUCAGCCUCCUCAUCCAUCCAGUGCUGGCUCCACUGGUCACGCCACAAGAAGAGGGGGCUGGACACUUGAAUGGGCGUGCAAGGAAGCUACCAAGGCUGCCAGUUAUUAAUGACCAGCUGCUUUUUUUAACAGGCUUAUGGAGAGUGGGGAGGUGAAGUAAUAGUUGUCAGUAUUGCUGAGCUGCUGUUUAUUGUGUGUAUAGUAAGAGGAGGUUUUUUUCUUGGUAACCUUGUUUUUUGUAAUCUAUGGUAAAAAUGUUGACUGAGCAUUUAUAUGCUUUUGUAUGUCUCUUGGGAAGACAGGUAUUGCAUUUCACUUUCAAUGUGAAUUUUUUGUUCAACUGAAUUUUAUGUUGUUGAUGAUAUAUUUUUUAAACUUUGUUUUCCUUAGAAACAAAACUUGCGCGUUUUAAAAUUAUUUCCGAAAGAAAUUUUUAGUUAGAUAGACCUGAUUUCAGAAAGUGAUGGACAGAGCUAGAAAUUUUUAUGUGAGAUUGUUCUGCCAAGGUUGUGCUAGCUCUUCUUUUUUGCUGCAAUUAUUCCAAGAUAGUCUUGGGCAACUGUGGAUGUGGGAAAUUGUUUUUUGUAGCACUGCAGAUAUCAUCUCAGGUGUGCAAACUGGCAUAGUUUUCCAGAAGCAAAGAAAAGCUAUGAAAAGGUACUCCAGCCAACAUCUGAGACCAGAUAUAAUAUCGUGCUCAAGCUUAUCCUACUUUUCAUACAUAAUGCAGGAUGUAUAUGUGCACAAAUAUGUAAGUCCGCCUAAAUUUAAAAGAUUAAUUUAGCUGUGCUUUUAUUCAUAGGGUUUUCUUAACAUGACAAGAAUUAGUUAUGCUGAUUUAUUUAGUCUUUAAACCGUCUAGGCAUUAUCUAAGUAUGCUUACGUUCCACAGAAUCUAUUAGGCAAGGAAGUGGGUCAUCCUUAUUUGACUGCUGAAGUGAAGCAGUGAUUACAGGGCAGGAAGGUCAAAUGUGUAAGGCACUCACUAGAGAUUUUAAAACCUGGAGGGAAGGCGUUAGCUCUGGAUUGUAAUUUAUAAGGAUGUACACAAUGUUGGCUUACUCUGAAUAACAGUAUAAGGAAUAUAAAUUUUAUUAUCUCGAGGAGUGUAAUUUUCUACAGAUGUUGGAAUUACAUAACAAAAAAUAAAUUUAAUUGCCUGUACUCUGUGAAAGUUGCUUGACUGGAUACUGGUAAAAAUACUACGUUAUGGAGAACCAAUGAUUGAACUUCAAAGGUAAAAAAAAGAAUACUUUAACUUUUAACUGCGUAGGUUACAAACUGUAUUCAAUAAUGCAUCUGUAUUAAUUUCUAGCGAGGAUAUAUAACUAUUUUUAAUAAAUUUUUGGUUUUAUCGUCGUAGUCCUAGUUAAGUCCUAUCGCCUUAUUCCUUGUUCUCAGCUGCCAGAGAAACCUGAGUAUUUCCCACAUACCAGAAAUCUUCCGAGUAAGGUAGAACUGAUUACGUAAUUUUCUUCUGCUUUGUUUUCUUAUGAAAAACUAGUGAAGAAGCGGUAUAUGGCUAAGCUCACCUUCCAACGUUUCCUGCAGCAAGAAUUAACUUCCAUUUAAGCAGUCCCUCAGCUUAAGAAACUAGCAAAUAAAACCCCACAAAACCUAAACAAACAAAAAGCCUAUGCCUUUUGCUUGCUCAUACCGCUUCUGACAGUGGUUAAGCUCUGUCAACAAGUUGCCCAGUAAAAUUGUUGAACCUCCACUCCUGAAAAUUUUCAAAACCUGACUGGACAAGGCUCUAAUCGACCUGAUGUAACUUUUAAGUUAGCGGUUCUUUCAUCAUGAGGUCAAAUUAAAUUACAGCACCCAUCCCUUCAGCAGGAAUUUCUCCGUUCGGAGUUAAAUUAGUUAAGGAUAUGAGUUUUGCUAAUUGUGGAAACAGGUAAAGAUCCAUUCAAAUGUGGCUUAGAAGAGCUUGCUUUCUCAAGCACAGACCCUUCUUUGGGGGCUUGCUUGCAAGUUGUUUUGCUUAAAAAAUACAUUCAGCAUCCUUUCGCAAGGAACGUUGAAACCCAUCAGCAGCAGACGAGCACUUCAGGGGCCGUGUCCGUCACAAACAUGCUCCCAGCAGGUGGCUGCUGCCCCCUGCAGCCCGUCCCAGCGUCCGCGAGGAGGUGGGGAGGAAGCACCCCAAGAAACAACACGCUAACUAGGUGGGCGAUGAACGUUUUCGUGUAUCGGCAAAGGAUUUUCUUAGUGUUAGAAAUGCACUGUGAUGCAGUUAUCCUAAUGAGUAAGACAAACGGUACCUCAAGUUUAUAUCUUUAGCCAUGGGUAGGUUCAAUAGUCAAAGAUCUUAAGAGCAAAGGCUGCAGACUGGGCUGUGGAAAAACCUGGAAAUCAAUUCAAGCUUUCAGAGUGCAUUUAUAUAAUUUUUGCUAAGUGAUUCCAAUGGUGAUGCAGUUCUUCAUAUGCCAAA